AUGCCGUUUCCACUUCUACCACUAGUCAAAGGAACUUUAUCACUAGUAGCUUCCCCCUUGUCGGAGGUAGCAUCUUUCACCUUGUUAGUGGGAUCGACCACAUCCAACGGUGCGGUGGAUAAUUUAAGACCAUCAAGAAACUCCUUAAACAUGCCUUUGACCUCGGUCUUCAUGGAGGUUUUCAAUGUGUACAAAGCCGCAUUGAAUUCCUCACGAGAGACCGAGGAUCCCCCAUCGGCCGUAGACGAGGACGGAUUCGCACCGGGGUGCUCCUCCCCACCGUCUACGGUGUCAACCAUACUCUUCGGACGGCAAAGUCCUUAA
rnacentral:rRNA from 1 species